AUAAAAGAUAGGUCACUUCCUGAUAUGGCUUUGUGUGCAAGCUUGACAUAUGGCAUUUGAGUAGAGACUUGGUAUAGCUUGCAGAGACGCAUUUGGCUUGGCUUGGCUUUGGAACAAAUGACUUGUUAUGACUGGAUCAAUUCUUCGAUCGAUAAAUACUUUGCAAAGCUCCGUACGUGCUGACGCUUAGUGCACUGGUCUGGUUCACAAGCGACUAACACUGAAGUUAAACAUUGUACCGUCUUUGUCAGCAAACAUUGAUCAGUCGGUUCCGGGUUAGUUUAUGCUUCAGUUUGUUGAUUAUAAAUAACCAACCAAGAUAUAUAGAAAUAUCUUGCUUCAGGGGUUGCACUGAAAUCUUUCGAGUACUUGGACAACAUCUUCAUUGC
rnacentral:lncRNA from 1 species